UGGGGAAUCUUGGACAAUGGGGGCAACCCUGAUCCAGCCAUGCCGCGUGAGUGAUGAAGGCCCUAGGGUCGUAAAGCUCUUUCGCCAGGGAUGAUAAUGACAGUACCUGGUAAAGAAACCCCGGCUAACUCCGUGCCAGCAGCCGCGGUAAUACGGAGGGGGCUAGCGUUGUUCGGAAUUACUGGGCGUAAAGCGCGCGUAGGCGGAUCGAUCAGUCAGAGGUGAAAUCCCGGAGCUCAACUUCGGAACUGCCUUUGAUACUGUCGAUCUGGAGUCCGGGAGAGGUGCAUGGAAUUCCGAGUGUAGAGGUGAAAUUCGUAGAUAUUCGGAGGAACACCAGAGGCGAAGGCGAUGCACUGGCUCGAUACUGACGCUGAGGUGCGAAAGUGUGGGGAGCAAACAGG
rnacentral:rRNA from 1 species